CAGGGAACACAGAAAGGGAUACAGCGAUGAGGAAAGCCAGGAGUCAGGAUACCAGAAUAUAGAGAAGUCAAUAAACAAAGCCAAAGUCAAAAACCAGGUAGAAAACUAUAAAUAGGAACGCGCUCUCGGACAACCACAAGGGAAACCACGACAGGGCACUGAGCAGGCUGAGAACUGGGCCUAAAUACCCCUCCUUUAGUUCUGAUA